rnacentral:rRNA from 1 species
GACUCCUACGGGAGGCAGCAGUGGGGAAUAUUGCACAAUGGGCGCAAGCCUGAUGCAGCGACGCCGCGUGGGGGAUGACGGCCUUCGGGUUGUAAACCUCUUUCAGCAGGGACGAAGCGCAAGUGACGGUACCUGCAGAAGAAGCACCGGCCAACUACGUGCCAGCAGCCGCGGUAAUACGUAGGGUGCGAGCGUUGUCCGGAAUUACUGGGCGUAAAGAGCUCGUAGGUGGUUUGUCGCGUUGUUCGUGAAAACCGGGGGCUUAACCCUCGGCGUGCGGGCGAUACGGGCAGACUGGAGUACUGCAGGGGAGACUGGAAUUCCUGGUGUAGCGGUGGAAUGCGCAGAUAUCAGGAGGAACACCGGUGGCGAAGGCGGGUCUCUGGGCAGUAACUGACGCUGAGGAGCGAAAGCGUGGGGAGCGAACAGGAUUAGAUACCCUGGUAGUCCACGCCGUAAACGGUGGGUACUAGGUGUGGGUUUCCUUCCUUGGAAUCCGUGCCGUAGCUAACGCAUUAAGUACCCCGCCUGGGGAGUACGGCCGCAAGGCUAAAACUCAAAGGAAUUGACGGGGGCCCGCACAAGCGGCGGAGCAUGUGGAUUAAUUCGAUGCAACGCGAAGAACCUUACCUGGGUUUGACAUG